UUUUAUCUAGAAUUCUUGAUAUUGAACAUGGCACCAAUAAGAAUUGCUCUUGUCAUUGUUAGAUUUGCUCUUCAACAUUUGAAGACCAACUCAUUGCCAAGGAUGUUGUUCAUAGAUAGAGGACCAAAUUUGCUAGUUUUGAUGCUAAAUUUUAGUGGACAUUUAGAAUCUUUUGACUAUUCAAAUGAAUUAGUUGUUACUAAAAUGAUAAUUCUUGAUAAUAUCAUCAUAAGUUAUCUUCUACUAAAAACUACAACCAAUGAUGAAGUUGAAGAUGAUAACAGGUAAAACUAGAGAAAGUCUUAAGUUCUAAUGUUAUCAAGUCCAUAUAAGUUUCAAAGACAUAUUGGAUGUUACAAGAUGAAGAGAGUCUAGAUUUUUAUUUCUUGCAUCUAAAAGAUAAAAGAUAAGGCUAUUUUGCUAAAGAACAAGUAAUUGGUGUAAAAGUUAAUUUUCAAUUUCUUUUGUAGUUGGUAGAUAGUAUGAAAAUGUUAGGUAGUUAUUUAACUUAUAGUUUUUGCUAUGGAUUCUAAGGUAGUUUUUAAUUUUUAUAAAUAAAAACACAUAUGUAUUGAUAUGUGUCUUAUAUUUAUAACUCUAAAAGUAGUUGAUUUAGUAGGCAUUGCCUACUAAUUUUUAUCAACACUCAUAGAGAGUUUAUAAUUUGGAGUGGGAUUUUAGGUGGUCUGAAUCAAAUUUAAAGCUUCUUUAGUUAAGGCACUAGGAUUAGCAAUACAUUUUUUUUAGGAUCUUGUUUAUACUUCAUAUAGACAUCACUAUGCCAACAAUUUGUAUACUCUCUAGUAAAAUUAAGUUCUUGUUUGUGCUCUCUAAUAGAUGGAGUUUCAACUUUGAAGUGAAUGAC
rnacentral:lncRNA from 1 species